rnacentral:lncRNA from 1 species
CCCCACCACCAGGCUGUUUGGCCUCUGUCUACCGGGGAUUCUACUCGGUGCUGAGGGAGUUCAGAGAAGGGCUGUCACCAUCGUAAUUUGGAGCCCAAAUAGAUUUGGGUCAGAGGACAUCUCAGGAGACUCAGGGUUCACCAGUCUUUGCCAUGGGUGACUGUGUUUGGCCAGCUUUCAGCACACAGUAGGGGCUCAAGAAAUAUUUGUUGAAUGAGUGACUCAAUGAUGGAAGAAAUUAAUGAAAGCCUGAAUGUUGACGAACAUCUCCUUCUGGAAGGAAGGAGAUCAAAAAAAAAUAACAAAAAGCUCAGGAAUCCAUGAACAUAAUGUUGAAUGAAAUAAGCCAGAUACAAGAGAAGGUUCUGUGUGACGACAUUUGUAUAAAGUUCUAGAACAGGCAAGAUAAAUCUAUGGUGACAGGAAUCAGAAUAGUGGUUACCUGGGGUCUGGAAGGAACGGACAGAGCUGUUCCCUGUCUACUCAAUAUCUGUUCCCCUCUCCCCUGCAGCUAGUGUAGCCACUUGAUAAAGUUCUGGUCAAUGAGACAUGUGAUGGCUGGAUCUCUGGCUGUCCUACUGGAUCAUGAGGACUAGGACCACACUCAGAGGUUAGAAGAGCUGGGAACUAGAUUUCUAACUACUCCAUGGAGCUGUCACACCAGCCCUGGAUCGCUUACCUGCUCACCUCUAGACUUCUUUUAUGUGAGAGAAAGAAACGGCUCUCUUGGGUUAGCCACUGUUAUUUUGCCAUUUUCUGUCACAUGAAAUUUAACCUCGCUGCCCCACAACCCUCUGAAGUUGGUAUUAUUACUGUUGUGCAGAUGAGGACAUGGAGCCACAGAUUAAAUCCUUGCCCGAGGUCACGUGGCUGGAAAUAGGGAGAGCCUGGAUGUGAGUCCCAUGCUGUGAGGGUUGUGGAGGCCAUUCCUUCUCUGGAAGCCACUGGGCACACCUCACUGUUCUCUCAUGCCCAUUUCCUGGGGUCCCCAGACAGCACAGCCCGCGAUCACAGGAUUUAGGGAGUCAUAAUCAUAGGCCUGACAGUUGAGCCCCACCCACAUGAUGUCAUUGGCCUGCCCCCACCAGAGACUACGAGAGGUAGAGUCACCUUCUCCUUUUACAGCUGCGAGAAUUGAGGCUGCGAUUGCUGAAUUUACUCUUCCAGCGUCACAGAGCUAGGAAAUGGCAGAGUCGAGGUUUGAACGAGGGGCCCCUGCCAGCGAAGCCCACAUUCUUAACUCCUCGGCCACACUGCUACCUCAGAAGCCAUGUGUUUCGGUUUCUCAUCAGAUUCCGAGAGCUCCUUUACAGCCCCUGCCAAAUGGCUGGCUAGCCUCCACUUACACACCUCCAGUGACAGAGAGCUCAUUAUCUUACAGGCCUGCAAAAGAGAAGCUUGAGAGGAAGGGUUCUAGUCCCCAUCCCAGCCUCUUCUUUCUCCUGCCUGGUCUCAGCCAUCCUGUGACUGCCCAGUCUGCACCCUGGAGACUUUUCCCCCGAAGCAGCCUUUCUCCUCCUUGUUUAGUCCCUCAGGCUCAAUGGACCAGUAUGGGGGUGAUAUCUUCACAGUGGCUUUUGUUUCUCUUCCUGUUCCUUUGAAGAGGACGCAAGACUGUCAUGUUGUCACUUGGCAACAAUUCAACAAAUGUGAAAUGUCCCUACCCUGUGACCCAGCCGUCUCUCUCCUUGUACACACGCCCAAAGAGGGAGAAAGCUCAGAGCAGCACGGUUGGUGACAGCAAAACUUCGGAAACACGAAGUAUCCAUUGAAAGGUUAGGACAUCAGAGUGCGUCCUUCGGGUGGAAGAUGCCACAGCAGUUUAAAAGGUUAGGAUUGAGGUAUUCACCCAAGAGACAGGCGAACACAAGCCCAAAUAAAGACUUGUCUGUGAAUGUUUACGGCAAUGCUAUUUGUAAUAGCCCCAAACUGAAAACAUUCAAAUGUCCGUCAACUGGUAAACAGAUAAGCAAAAUGGAACGCAUCUGUGCAAUGGAAUAUUAGCCAUAUAAAGGAUGACGUGAAGCCUACAGCAUGGAUGAAACUCCAAACAGUUAUGCUCAUAAAAGAAGUCAGAUGCAAAAGACCAAGUAUUGUACGAUUCCAUUUACGAAAUGUUCAGAAAAGGCAAACCUAUAGAGACAGAAAGUUCCGUGGUUGCCUGGGGCUGAGGGUGAGGGCAGGGACUGACUUGCUAACGGGCAAAAGGACAUUGUUGCAGGGGCGGAAAUGUUCUAAAACUAGAUGGCGGUGAUGGUCGCAAAGCUCUAUAAAUCUAUUUAAAAUCAUUGAACUAUAUAUUCACGGUGGGUGAAUUUUAUAGUAUGUAAAUUAUACCUCAAACUUUCUUUAAAAAGAUGAGGGAGAAAUGGGAAAAGGGAUAAAACAUUAAGUAGAAAAAAUAAGAUGUCAAACAAAACAUACAAUUCCCAUUUAGGUAAAAAAAAAAUAAGUGAAAUAAAACCCUCCCGUAGGAACAUGAACGUUUAUAAACAAACGCAGAGACUCCUGUCUUGAAAGCGCCACCCCACGCCUUUGACAACAGAUCCUUCUGGGGAGGAGAGCAGGAAUGGAGGGCUGGAGAGGCGGACUUUUACUUUUUAAUUUAAAAAAAUCAAGCGGGGGGGAAAAAAGAAAGAGAGAAAAGAAGCAAUGCAGAGGAGAGAGGCUGGAGGUUGCAAUCCAUCCUCUGGGACCUUCUUUUACAAUCCCGGGCUGACGGAGUGAGGGAGGCGGAGUCGUGGGCAGUAAAUUGACGUGUGUAAACUCUGGAAGGACUUAGGAAUGAUCAGUUCCUUUGCUCUGAAGGUGGAGAAACUGAGGCCCAGGGAGAGACUGAGGCCUGUGCAACCCCACAGCUCCCUGGGCUCAGGCUCAGGCCCAGGCUGAAGUCCAGGCCUCGGACGAAGCUCCCAGCUCUGCCCCCGCACUGCGCUCUGCACAAAUUGUUUCGUGUCUCCGGGAAGAGGGAGUUUAUAAAUUUGGCCACAUUUUGGAACAACAGAGCCAUAAAUGGACAUGCCCACAGGAGGCUGGGAGGUACCUGACCUUUGAGGCUGGGGAUGGGGAGGGGAAGGGAGGACAGGGCGGCCAGAUCCAGCCAUGGCUCAGAUUCUUGUAUUCAGGGCAAAAUAAAAUUGGAGAAAGGAGCUAGUCCAGAGGGCAGCUGCAGAUGAAGCUGGUAAACAUGGAGGGCCAGAUGGGCCUGGCUCAAAUGCCCCCUUUGCCACUGUCUGGCUGGGUAACCUUGGGCAAAUACCUUCACCUCUCUGAGCCUUAGUGCUCACCAAACCUGGUGAAUGAUGGGAACAUGUGGAAAGGUUGUGAAAAUGCAGAUGACCAUGCUCCAAUUACAUCUUACAGAGAAUCAAACUCUUCCAGGAUGGGGUCUAAGCAACUGUAUUCCAGAAGCAUCCUGCAUCACUAGAGAACUAGAAUUCAG